AUUGAACGCUGGCGGCAGGCCUAACACAUGCAAGUCGAGCGAGCGGCGGACGGGUGAGUAAUACCUGGGAAACUGCCUGAUGGAGGGGGAUAACUACUGGAAACGGUAGAUACUACCGCAUACCAUCGGAUGUGCCCCGUGGGUAGUAGCUAGUAGGUGGGGUAAAGGCUCACCUAGGCGACGAUCCCUAGCUGGUAUGAGAGGGUGACCAGCCACACUGGAACUGAGACACGGUCCAGACUCCUACGGGAGGCAGCAGGGGGGAAUAUUGCAAAAUGGGCGCAAGCCUGAUGCAGCCAUGCCGCGUGUAUGAAGAAGGCCUUCGGGUUGUAAAGUACUUUCAGCGGGGAGGCGUUACCCGCAGAAGAAGCACCGGCUAACUCCGUGCCAGCAGCCGCGGUAAUAC
rnacentral:rRNA from 1 species